AUUAGUCUUGGUCGAAGCUUGAUCAUCCAAGACACCUUAACCAUCAUUCAAGCUACUCCACCUUCAAGCUGAUCAUCAUCUCGGCAAGUAGCUUGUGUGUGCUCUUUUCCUAACCUUUGGUUUUGUCCCACUGGGUUUUCCAAAGGAAGGUUUUUAACGAGGCCACAAGUCUACUUCUCCUAUCUCCUAGAUGAUUGAUCUUGGUCUGUCCACAUGAAGACCUUAUGUUAUACUUUUAAGCUAUGCUUUCAUAUUAUUUAGAUUUCGAAAAAUCUAGUCAUUGUUGUGUUUCCAAGGGAGUCUUUGUCUUUAUUUCCCUUGUAUUUUUGAGACCUUGUGCAUGUACAAGGCUUCUCCUUUAUAUUCUGGUUGUGACCCCCCCUUGUAGCAUGAUCCAUCUUUUUUUUUAUCAAAAACCUUUGUUUUCUCUUUUCUUCUUGCUUGUCGAGUUGAUUGAGUGUUGGUGUGUAAUAUCCAACUUCUGGUGUGUAAUAUCCAGAGUCUAAGGGCUUCUUAUUUGGUGUGUCAUAUCGAGAUCAGUCGCCUAGGAGUAUCAAGAGAUCAGCCAUCCCUCUUGUGUCACCAUUCGAUCCACUAACCUUGAGAAACUUGAGUCUCUUAUCGCCUAGGAGUAUCAAGAGAUCAUCCAUCCCUCUUGUGUCACCAUUCGAUCCACAAACCUUGAGAAACUUGAGUCUCUUGAUUCGUUUCUGCAUGGACUAUACCAUCUGUUCCAGAGCAUCAUCCUAGGAUCUCAUUAUGUGGUAUCAGAGCAAUUCUGGAAGGGAAGUGUUUGAUUUUUCUCUCUGAUUUUCGUUUCGGUCUGUUCAUAUUCUGUCGAGUUUGAUCUGAUCUGUGUUCUUUGUGUUUAAAUCUGAUAAAUCUGAGAACUUUGAUCACAAGUCUGAGUGUAGUCUUUUCAUAAUCUUGUGGAGAAAGUUAUUAAUUUGUGUUGUCUUUGAAUCUGAUUAGAAUUGAAAGAGAUCGAUCUGUUUCUGAGAAUUGUGAAUCUGUUUUUUUUUUUGUGUUUUAAUCAUCAAAUCCAAAUCUGAAAUUGAACCUGAUUUCGGGAUCUAUCUUUGUUCUGAUUACGGUUUUAUUGUUUCAAUUUGAUUUGUGUCUGGUUAGGUUUGUUUUGUCAAUUUGAAUCUGCUUUGGAUCUGUCGAUUGAAGUUUGUUGAUCAGUUUCUGUUUGGUUUAUGAUUGAUCGUUUCUCUCUGUUGCUUCUGUUUGUUUCUGAUUAUCAAACUUGUUCUGAUUAUCAAUCUGAUUAAUUUUGGGUUGUUUGUCGAUUUGAAUCUGUUCUGGUUUAUUAUUGCUUACUUGUUUCUGUAAAUCGAAAAUCAAUCUAAUAUUUCUCUGUUGUAAUUCUGAGUGUUCUGUUUCCUUAGAACUUGUUACUGCUGUGUGUUGUUUUCUGUUUCAGGUACCAUGGCAGGAGAUCAAAAAGGAGAACCCAGCAAGGAAGAAAAAUUGAUGAUUGAAUCAUUCAAGGCCAGUAUGGGUCUUGUCCUCAAAGAUCAGAUGAGACAACUAAGACUGGACCUGCGACGGGAACUCCAACAAGCUUCUGGUCAGAGUCUUGAGCCUAGAAGCAGUGAGAGGAGACAAAGACGUGAUCAUGAAGGCAGGGGCAAUCACAGAAAUAAAUUUUCUCAUCAAAAGCUGAAAAUCCCUCCUUUUCAUGGCAAGGCUGAUCCUGCUNNNNNNNNNNNNNNNNNNNNNNNNNNNNNNNNNNNNNNNNNNNNNNNNNNNNNNNNNNNNNNNNNNNNNNNNNNNNNNNNNNNNNNNNNNNNNNNNAAGAUGGAGUUGAUUUUCAAAUGUCAAAGCUAUGCUGAAGUAAAGAAGGUUCAAAUAGCCACUGCUGAGUUUUAUAGUUAUGCUUCAAGCUGGUGGAAUCAAUUGGUGUCGUCUAGGAGACACUAUGUAAAAGAACCAGUUGCAACCUGGCUUAAAUUAAGGGCUUUGAUGCGUCAUAAGUAUGUUCCAAGACAGUACCACAAGGAAGUACUUCAAAAACAGUCUUAAACAAAGCCAUGCUCUGCAAACUCAGUACAGGAACAACAAGGCAGAAUGAGAUCAAGUUCAUCCGGUGUUAUUGGUUUACCUAGCAAGACAACAAGAUGGUUCAGUGAGGGGGACAUAAAGAAGCGGUCUCAAGUGAUUAUGGAUGUUGAGAAACAACUCAGAGAGACCCACACCACACGUACAACCAUAGAAGAACAAAACCAAGAGUCAAUCACUUCAGUCUCAGAACUUAAUUCAGCAGAGCCGGUAUCAGCUGUGCCUAUUCAAGAAGAGCAAGCCAAAGCAACAUCACCUAUCUUUAAUAAAGAAGAGCAGCCUGGUCAGAACGUCAUUGUUCCUUUCAAACAAGACAUGGUAGCAGAGGAGAUACCCAGGGAACCACAGAGAGCUCACAGAAUGAAUCAACUAAUUGUCUUUGAUCCAUGUGAUUUUCAAAAGACCUUCUUAGGUCAGACUAUUUUGAGGUCUACACUUUUCGAAAAGAAGGGUUAUAAUGACCAGAGUAUCAAUGAUGAGUCCUUGGCUAAGUUGGCGAAGCAACAAGCAAACCUUGAAAACUGUCUAGCCGCCAACUUUGACAUAGGAGCAGUCCAAGGAUCAUAUCUCAACAACCAAAGGGAUGAAAGCAACAAACUCGACUUCCAUGGAAACUUAACUCAUCAGGGACUCACGGCGAAUUGGAAUCAUGUCUAAAGCUUCUCAGGGGAAAGAGNNNNNNNNNNNNNNNNNNNNNNNNNNNNNNNNNNNNNNNNNNNNNNNNNNNNNNNNNNNNNNNNNGAAAGAGUUAUGGGUUCUAGAAGUCGGGUGAACCUGUGUUUGCUUUGUUUGAAUUUUUCUGAGUUUAGAACAUCUCAAUCCUAUCUAUGGCGACCAGGUGAGCAUGCUAAGGUAACUAAUCAUGUUUUCAAGAGUUCUUUUAUUGAUUACACAGAUAUGAUGCACUUGUUUUUGUCAAAAGAGCCAUGUACAGAUUAUGAUGAAGCUUUGAAGCAUACAAGGAGAAAGAACAAGCGUGAGGAAGACAAGCGUUUCAAGCCACCUGAUCUGAACCAGGAGAGACAUCAGGACAUUAAUUGAUUCAUCCUCAUCAAAGAAGCACCUCCAGAUGCAGCAUACAAGCCAAAACCGAGCAAAAACCAAUUUGGGAUAAGACUCUUACUCUUUGAUAAAUUUUCAUGUGCUAACUGGUUUUGUUUCAAUGUAUCAGGUUUAAGGAAUGCAUCAAGUAGAACCAAACGGAUCAGUCCCUCCUACAUAAUCGAACCAAUCAGAAAUAAUGCCUAUCAAAGAGGCUUGCAAGGUAAGUGUAAUCUGAUUUUAAACUUUGAUAUUACUGACUCGGCCCCCUCUAUUGCAGGUAAAGCAGAUUUCAGGACAAAUCUUUUUGAAGAGGGAGGGGAUGAUGUGAUCAUGGAAAGCACCAAGGAAUGGAAGUAUUAACCUGAUCCUGAAGAGAUUGUAGCUGAGUAGGCAACAUUGAAGAAUGCUUGGAAACAAGAAGUAUACAUUAGUCUUGGCCGAAGCUUGAUCAUCCAAGACACCUUAACCAUCAUUCAAGCUACUUCACUUUCACGCUGAUCAUCAUCUAGGCAAGUAGCUUGUGUGUGCUCUUUUCCUAACCUUUGGUUUUGUCCCACUGGGUUUUCCAAAGGAAGGUUUUUAACGAGGCCACAAGUCUACUUCUCCUAUCUCCUAGAUGAUUGAUCUUGGUCUGUCCACAUGAAGACCUUAUGUUAUAUUUUUUAAGCUAUGCUUUCAUAUUAUUUAGUUUUCGAAAACUCUAGUCUUUGUUGUGUUUCCAAGGGAGCCUUUGUCUUUAUUUCCCUUGUAUUUUCGAGACCUUGUGCAUGUA
rnacentral:lncRNA from 1 species